rnacentral:rRNA from 1 species
UAGCCUUGACAUUGAUAGAAUACACCAGAGAUGGAGUAGUGCCUUUCGGGGAACUUGAAAACAGGUGCUGCACGGCUGUCGUCAGCUCGUGUCGUGAGAUGUUGGGUUAAGUCCCGCAACGAGCGCAACCCUCGUCCUUAGUUGCCAGCAGGUUAAGCUGGGCACUCUAAGGAGACUGCCUUCGUAAGGAGGAGGAAGGUGAGGACGACGUCAAGUCAUCAUGGCCUUUAUGGCUAGGGCUACACACGUGCUACAAUGGGGCGUACAGAGUGUUGCGAUACCGCGAGGUGGAGCUAAUCACUUAAAGCGUCUCUCAGUUCGGAUAGCAGUCUGCAACUCGACUGCUUGAAGCUGGAAUCACUAGUAAUCGUAGAUCAGCAAUGCUACGGUGAAUACGUUCCCGGGUC